CCUCAUCGCCCUCAUCUGCAAUUGGUGGUCUCUCUUGAACAACAUGAGAAUCCGGCUGCUUUGCAGGUGAAACAUUGUCUAUCGCCAUAUUCUGUGCUGUUAGUAGCUCUAACCUUUGCGUCUGCACUUCAAGUUUUCUGGAUAACUCUUUGUUCAGCUCCUAUGUUUAAGAAACAUGACAGAUAUAAAGACUUGAGAAAUACACGAGAUUACACAAUAACACAAACAUGAAAACGCUACUUAAUAAAACAUCAAAGAGUAGACCAGAUUAUAUAUUAAGGCUAUGGUGAGUUAAGAUAUAAUAGCUCAUGGAACCAUACAGAAAUCAUGGUUGGACUCGGAAUUUACCUUUACCCGUGCGAUCGAUCAUAUUGAUCGAAACAUACUAUUUACAUAGAAAAGACCCAUAAUUCUCUUCCACCUCUGAAUGAUAUAAGUCUGAUAAGAGGGGAAGAAGAGAGAAAGUAUAUCUCUCUAAACAAGAGAGAGAAGGGCUUCUUUUAGUAGUACCAAAUUACAUUUGAAAAAAAAAAACUAUAUCAUGUAUUUUUGGGGUCAAAUCUUUACAUUCUAAAAUACUUGAAAUUUUAAGAUAAUAUACAAUUAUUAAGAAACUUGUCUUUUAUUUUAAAAGUAAGACUAAAUUAUAAAUUUAAAUUUUUUUUGACCAAUUACAAAAUAUAUUACAAAAUAUCGUUGGUUACACAGUUUUUAAUAAAAUAAAAAAUUAUAUUGAAAUAUAAAAAUAUCAUCUAUUUUUAAACAUCAAAACUUUCUUUAAGCAUCAUUUAUUUUGAAACAACAUUUUAGAGUAAUAGUAUCAAAUUACAUUUGAAAAAAAAAAGACUAACUCAUGACUUUUUGGGGGUCAAAUCUAACUAAUGUUUUUUUUGUCAACAUAAUAUAUUAUUCAGAGAACCAAGUGAUUACGUAGUUUUGCUUGGACCUGGGACGGAUCCGGAUAUCCGGAAAACUUAGGGUACCCAGAUCCGGAUCCAAAUAUCCGUCAGAUCCGUGGAUUUAAUAUCCGGAUUCGUGGUUUCCGGAUAUCCGGUUUUCGGAUAUCCAUCUCGAUAUUCUAUUAUCCGCGGAUAUCUGGAUCCGUAACAUAAUUAAAAAUAAUAUGUUUUUUAAAAAAAUUCUAAUUUUUAAAAUAUAAUACAUCAAUUAAAUAUUUAUAUAAGAUUUAUAAAUAUAUUUAUAUAUGUCUAUAAUAUUGUAAAGAUUAAAAUAUAAUAUUAUAAGAUUAAUUCAUGUAUAAAUAUUAAUAUAUCAAAUAUUAAUAUUAUUAAAAUUUAAAAAUUAAUGUGUUUUAAGAAUACAGAUCCGGAUCCAGAUAUUCGGGCCUAAAAAUUAAGAUAUCCGGAUCCAGAUUCGGUUUAGACGGAUCUAAGAUUUUACUAUCCGGAUUUGGAUCCAGGCACCCCGGAUAUCCUAUUUUCGAAGCGGAUCUAGAGCAGAUCUCGGAUCGAAUUUGGAUCUCAGAUAAUAAGUUACAGGCCUAGUUUUGCUUACAAAGUCUAGCUUGCUUGGCUAAAGAAUCAACAUUUUCUAGGAAAGUGCUAUUAGCAUAGUGGAAACUAUAGUUACACGAUCUUGAUAGAAAGUGAAUGUCUCGCAGCAUAGAGGAAACCUCCGUGUGAUAAGCACUUGUGAUGGUUUUUCAGUAGACAACUGAUAUAACCCAUUAAUAAGCUUUUUGCAGUCAGUGAUGAAAUCCACAUUAUGAUAUUGCAAUGAUUUCAACUGUUUGAUUGAGCCACCGCCUCCGCUUCUGAGGAAGAAUUUGUAAGCGUAAUUGAGGAAGAUCCCUGGAGUUUUUAAAUGCCUUCUUUGUUGUGGAAGGACCAUCCAGUUCCUUCUUCCUCAUUAUCCUUCUUCCAUUAUGCAUCUACUAAACAAUAGUAGUGAGCAGAGUUUGGUAGUAGGUCUGCAAUAUCCAUUAUUUACCUAUCUGAAAACCUGCAUCUCUGAACUUCAUGUUCAUCAUAUUCAAUUGCUUGCAUCCAAUGCUGCUGAUCUCGAAUCGCUCCAUGCACCACCUGAAGUAUAUGCUCUCUUUUUUGUUGGAAGUGUAUGUUGUUUCUCAUUUUUCAAAUUCGCCAUCCAACAUGGAAGUUCAAUAGCUCAAAAUCUUCUUGCUUUGCAGGAAAUAUCAGAGCGUUGAUGUUAUGGAGCAGAGAAGUUUGAAAUUCCGUCUUGAACCCUAUACGAUGUGGGAGCCAAAGACCAAAUCUCCUUUGAUAUUCUGUAGUGAAACAUCAUAUUUCAGCAUCUUCCCCACAGCUUUGACAAGUAUCAUCUAUAUGUACACCUCUUUUAUUUAAGUUAAUUGUAACCGCAAGGCUGUUAUGUGCCACUCUCCACCAAAAUGUCUUGAGCUUGGGAGGCAGAUUGAGUUUCCACAAUGCCGAACAACACUUCUUCACUUCUUCUGAGAUUCCACUCUGUCCUUGUUGCUGUUGAGUUUCUUGCAUUGAGAUUUUCCUUUGGAGAUGAUAUUUUGUUUUGACAUUGUACUCUCCAUUUCGAUUGUAGCUCCAGAUACGCACAUCUGAUAUAUCAUGCAUUACACUUGGUCUAAUGUUGAGGACAUAUUGAGCAUCCGACGGAUUCAAAAAGACUUUCUAUCAACCUCCUGUUCCACUCACGGGUUCCAUUAAUGAAAAGAUCGUUCACCUCAAUAUGAGGAUGGCUUACUGCUCCUGCUCCCUGUGCUGGUACAAAUUGUUUUGAUCGAAUCCAAUUGUCCUUCCAGACCCUAAUAGUUUUUCCAUUUUUCACAGUCCAUUUCAGUCCUUUUGUCAGUAGAUGCUGAGUUUGUAGUAUACUGCGCCAGGCAUAGCUUGAAGUUGAGUAACUUUUAGCUUCAUGCAUGUAAUAUUUAGCUUUAAACACACAAGACAUCAAUGGACGGGGAAAUCUAAUCAAUCUCCAACCUUGCUAGGCUAAGAGAGCAAUAUUAAAUCCUCCAUAUUUCUUAUACCUAUUUCGCCUUCCUCCUUUGAAGAAGUGCUUUUAUUCCACUGACCCAAGGGAUUUUAUGCCUAUCUUUAAAUGAUGACCACCAAAAGUUACUCGUGUAAGAAGUGGUUUGGUUAAGUAGGCCCAUUUGGUAGCAUAAAACAAGACAUGGCAUAUAUAGUAAGGACAAAAAUGACAGCCUUGAGUAGAACUUCUUUUCCAGCCUGAGAAAGAAAUCUAUUGUACCAGUAUCUAUUUUGUUCAUAAUUCUCUGCUUUAUAAACUCAAAGACAUCCUUACAUUUUCUACCUAUCCUCUCAGGCAAACCUAAGUAUCUUCCAAAUCCACCUACUCUAUCCACACCUAUCAUUUCUUUUAGGAUUUGCUGUUCAGUGAGAUGAAUACCUUUUGAGAAAGCUACCGUAGAUUUAGUGUAGUUUACCUCUUGGCCAGACGCUUUUUGGUAGAUGGUUAGGAUCUCCUUUAAGGUUUUACAUUCUUCAAGAUUUGCUCUGAAAAAAACAGAAUCAUCAGCAAAAAAGUAAAUGGGAUAUAGCUGGACCUCCUCGCGAUGCUUUAUAUCCAUGGAGUUUUUGCUGAUGAAUUGCAUUCUUUAUUAGCUGUGAUAGCCCUUUAGUACAAAUGAUAUAUAAGUAUGGAGAGAUUGGAUCUCCCUGUCUAAUUCUUCUCUGAGGAUAAAUAGUUUUAGUGAGUUCUCCAUAAAUUAGAACAGAGUAAGAGACUGUCAACAUACAUUUAUAUAUCCAUAUGCACCAUAGAUCAGUGAAACCUAUUUGCCUCAUGCCCUUAUCUAUAAAAUCCCAUUCAACUUUACCAAAAUCUUUCAAAAUGUCAAGCUUGAGGUUCAUGGACUUUGAUUUAAGAUUCCUAGUAUGCAGAGAAUGCAUAAGUUCAUGAGCUAUAAGCACAUCAAUACUAUUAAAAGGGAAGGAGUUUUAAUAAAUCUACUUAAAAAGAUUGUUUGGACCCUUUCGUUAGACUUAGCUAUUUUUUUGGUAUUACCUUAUAUUUCUCUAACUAUACAUUAUUUAUUCUAACUAUGAUUUUAUCUUUUGUGUUAUCGUAAAAGUUAAUGAAAAUUCCUAAUAUCAUGGAUCACAAUAAUUGCCUAUAUCCAAGCAUACCUAAUGGCCCACAAUAAAUGUAAGUCUAAUAUUGACAUUCUCAAAUAUACAACACCCACCAUUUUACUCAAGUAUGAAAUACAUGGAAUAUAAACAUAUGAAAAGGAACGAAUUAUUAUUAAUUAUCGAUAACCAUUCAAUUACCAGUUUAUAUUCCAAAAUUAGAUUCAUAUUACUAAAUCAGGAUGGAGUCUGAUAAACUAUAUACUAUAUCAUUCAUCUUUUUUAAGUAUUGAUCAAGUUAAAAAAAGUAUUGAUCAAGUUCAUAUUACCAAUUCUUGCAUCAAUUCAAUAUAUAUUAACCAAUAUACACCUCACGUCUUCAGUUUUACAUUUCUUAAUGUUAGUAAAAUUAAUUUUACAUUUCAUAAAAUUUGCUUAAAUAUUUAUAAUAUUCACUGAUUUUAACCAUUGGCCGACGUGAGGAAAUACAGUUUAUAUUAUACCUAGAAAACAGAAAAUGUAAGCCUUAUAUCAUAAUAUUCUUUUGUUAUUACAAGAAUUCAAAAUUAUUUACUACAAAAAAAUAAAAACAAAACACCCGCUUGGGCGUAUUGAUAUAAUUAUAAUCUUAAUUUUAUCCAAAAAUCCGAAACUAUAGCCAAAACCUAAACCCAAAACAUAAAAAAUAUAUGUAAUACCGAAAUAUAUCUUAAAUACACAAAUACAUCUAAUAUACAUAAAACAGUUUGGGUACUAUGUGUAUGCAACGAGUCUUGGGUAGGAUCCAGACUCAAACAGAGACCUAUAGAUCUAAAAGAUACCUAAUUGGUACUUUACCCUGGACCCAAAGCCGAACCAAACCUGUUUGAUUUUUUUUGUCUCGGUAAAAUGUCUAUGCCUAAAAGAAAAUUACAAAAAAAUAUACAUACAAAUUCUCAAAUAAACUAAUUUAUAAAUUAUAUAAUAUUUUUAAAAAUUACCUUCUUCGAUAUAAUAUAACUUUGUAAUAUAAUAAUAUUUAACAGUUCCAAAAUACUAAUUCAUCUCAAUAAUAUUAAAUUUUAACAAUAAAUAUAGUUUUUUCUGUUCAAUUUUCUUCAUUUUCUCUAAUGAUAUAGUAAAUUUUUUAUCGAAAAUUAGAAAUAAAACAUUAAUUCAUAUUGAACAUUGUAACUUAUUAAUGUACAUUAGAAAUAAAACAUUAAUUCAAAAACGAUGGCGACGGCGACGAUUCCACCCUUGAUUCGGAUCAACGAAUUUACCGGUUCAACAUUGUAACUUAUUAAUGUACAUUAGAAAUAAAACAUUAAUUCAUAUUAAACAUUGUCAUUAGCCAAAAAAAAACCGCGCUUUCGAAGUGCGGAUCAAAAUCUAGUUAUCUAUUAUAAGCCUUUCUAGAAUAAAAACUGAUCAAUUUUCCGAGAUUAUUCUAUCUAAUCAAGGCUUAAGUCUUUCUGCAAGAAUUUUGAAAAUUAUUUUAUAGGCCACAUUAGACAAGUUAUAAAAUCUUUAAGAGUAUCAUUUUUUACACAAAUUAAAAGGUAGUUAAAAUUCGUUUGUAAUCUAAUUAAUUACAUCUAAUAAUGUUCAAGAUACUUAUAUUUAUUUAUAAGAUAAAAGUACUUUACAAUUAAUAUUAAAAUUAAAACAGGUAUUUAUGUAAUAAUCUAGUUUAUAUAUUUGUUUAUUCGAGUAUUGAAACUAAAACGAGCACAGGUAAAUAAAAUAUAUGUCCAACCAAAAGGACACCGGAUUAUUAUGGUAAUUAGUAUAUUGCACUAUAAUCAACAGUUACAAAAAUUCAAGUAAAUAAACAACAAAAAAACGCACUCAUAUAAAUUCUCUCUCUGUUCACGCUUCGUGUCUCUCUCCAUUUGGAACUCUUUGCAAAGUGUCUGUAUCACACUCACUAUAUGCUGUCUUCUUGAUAUUCCUCAAGCCUAAUGAAACCCAAUUUUUUGGAUCAAAAAGCUAAACGAAUUCUUCCAAAACAAUAAGAGAAGAAGCCAUAGUGGCUGUGCCAGGAUGUACAGAAUAGCUGAGCAAGGCGUGCAUUAGAGAAGCUUGCUCGUCCUUCUUUUUGAUGGUCCUCCUGGGAACAUCUUCAUGAUCCAUCCUAGAACCCUUUCUACCACCUGAAUGGAGAGAAAUGAUUAACAUCUUGUCUCCUUUUUUUCAGACCCAAGUUUGGAACUCUGAUCAGAGGAGGAUAAUAGAGAAAGAGAAUGUACCUCAUCGCCCUCAUCUGCAAUUGGUGGUCUCUCUUGAACAACAUGAGAAUCCGGCUGCUUUGCAGGUGAAACAUUGUCUAUCGCCAUAUUCUGUGCUGUUAGUAGCUCUAACCUUUGCGUCUGCACUUCAAGUUUUCUGGAUAACUCUUUGUUCAGCUCCUAUGUUUAAGAAACAUGACAGAUAUAAAGACUUGAGAAAUACACGAGAUUACACAAUAACACAAACAUGAAAACGCUACUUAAUAAAACAUCAAAGAGUAGACCAGAUUAUAUAUUAAGGCUAUGGUGAGUUA
rnacentral:lncRNA from 1 species